AAGUCGUAACAAGGUUUCCGUAGGUGAACCUGCGGAAGGAUCAUUAGCGAAGUUCGGAAUGCAUGUUCGAUGUUGAUGCUGCCCAGCAAUGGGAUGUGCUCGCUCGGAUGUGUGUCCCUUCUCUAUCCACCCCAUUGUGAAACAAGUGUGUGAGCCGAAGAGAAAUCGGACGCUCGCAUGCAAACCUUUAACAUACCCCAAUAAAGUAUCAGAAUGUACCUUGCGUUAACUCGCACAAAUAUAACUUUCAACAACGGAUCUCUUGGCUCUC
rnacentral:misc_RNA from 1 species